UUGGAGGGCAAGUCUGGUGCCAGCAGCCGCAGUAAUUCCAGCUCCAAUAGCGUAUAUUAAAGUUGCUGCAGUUAAAAAGCUCGUAGUUGAAUUUCGGGACCAUCAUGUCGGUCGUGCCUCGGUACGUACUGGUAUUGUUGGUUUCUCCCUUCUGACGAACCAUGAUGUCAUUUAUUUGGUGUUGUGGGGAAUCAGGACUGUUACUUUGAAAAAAUUAGAGUGUUUAAAGCAGGCUCACGCUUGAAUACAUUAGCAUGGAAUAAUGAAAUAGGACGUUUGAUUCUAUUUUGUUGGUUUCUAGGAUCGACGUAAUGAUUAAUAGGGAUAGUUGGGGGCAUUAGUAUUCAAUUGUCAGAGGUGAAAUUCUUGGAUUUAUUGAAGACUAACUACUGCGAAAGCAUUUGCCAAGGAUGUUUUCAUUAAUCAAGAACGAAAGUUAGGGGAUCGAAGACGAUCAGAUACCGUCGUAGUCUUAACCAUAAACUAUGCCGACUAGGGAUCGGAUGAUGUUAAUUUUUUAAUGACUCAUUCGGCGCCUUACGGGAAAC
rnacentral:rRNA from 1 species